rnacentral:misc_RNA from 1 species
CCUCCUUUAUGACGGAGGGGGUACACCUCGGCGCGAUAUCGCUCGGUCCAGUACCCACGCUCUGUGUGUGGGGAGUCGCGAAGCAGCCCCGCAUCCCCUGCCGAAUGCCGAACCGCUCCUGGUGGUGACAGGGCCAAGCACCUACGACGUGGAGAGGUGAGCGCGGCUUACUGCCACUGAUGUCGGCGGCGGGGUCCUGGGUGGCGCUGCCUCGGAGCGACCUGCGGCUGUGAGUAGGUCUUUAUCACCCAUAUGGUGGGCAGGGCGUCCACGUGACCCGCGCGUAUCCGACCGGGCCCUCACACGGCGCACUGGUGUGUGUGGGUGUGGGGGCCGAGCCCCCCGAGGGGCGGGAACGCACCAGGCGAUGGGGCGUGUGGCCGGCCGGUGGGCAGAGCGGCGCCGGCCUCGUGCACCCUGGCGGAGAAUGGCCGCGCGGAAGAGAGAGCUCGCACGUACGCCUCUUCCGCUGCGCUCCCUGGCGUUCCUCUCUGUGCCCCAUUUCCCUCGACCCUUUCCCAUCUGCUCUCACGGACUCUCUCCCACGGCAUGCACACGAGCACGCCCACAG